CCCCGAAGGUCACCUAGACGACCCAGCCCCGCCCCACCCACAGCGUCUGGCAACCUAGACCACAGACCAGCCCGGAAGGAGGCAAAAAAUGGAAGGGCCUCUAGAAGAGGAUCCGGGGGAAUCCUUGAGACCUGAAAGCACAGCCAAGUCCCCAAAUGACAGCCACACAGGUGACCAGGAAGACAACUGGGAGAACCAGAACGAAGAGGAGGCAGAUGACCAGACUACCCAAAGAUUAUCUCACCAGGCUGAACCCAGAAUAUUUGGCCAAACUGGCUACAAAGGAACUGAACACCUUGGGCGUAGAACAUCUGAUCAGGCUGACCUCGGAGCAUCCAACUAUGCUAACGUUGAUGCUCAUGGAGUGCCUGAGCAGGUUGACCGAAGAAUGUCUGAAGGGACAGACAGCAAGGCAUCUGGCCGAGCUGAUUAUGUAGAGACUGAACAGACUGACAGCCAGAUGUCUGUUCCAGGUGAGCAAGGAACUUCUGAACAGAUGGAACCAAGAUUGUCCAGACAGACUGAAAGCAAAAGAGCCUCUGAACAGAGUGACCACAGAAUGUCUGGCUGGGCCAACCAAAGCACCUCUGAACAGAUUUACAGCAGAUUGUCCGGCCUAGUUCAAGGAAAAAUUCCUGCACAGAUUGACCAUACAAUGCCUGCCCCGGUUGACCACAGAGCAUCUAUAAAGACUCACCACACAACGUUUGCCCAAGCUGUUCAGCUAGCAGAACAACAGGCUGCUGACCAAGCUGACAGCAGUGUUGAUAACCUGACGGUUGACAGGGCUGACAACAGUGAAUCUGACCAGGUUGACCACUUUAUGAACGAGGGCGACAAUGACACAGAAGCCAACCUAUUUGACUAUGGAGCACAUGGCCAGUCUGACGACGAAAUAUUUACCCUAUUUGGCCCCAGCAAGGAGAGCGAAGAGGCUGACUUCAGCAUAGAACCCUGUACAUUUGAGGCUAGCCAAACAGACCUCAGCAAUUCCAAAAUUUCAACUGAAACUGACACUGAAAAUGUAACUGAUAUGCAAGUGUUCGACUCACUUGAUGGCAGAUUCAUCAAUAAUUUCCAAGCAAAAGACCAAGCCCUUUCCCAAAGACUUCCCUCCAUCUCAUCCAAACCGGAUUAUGUCAGCAGACAGGAAACAACUCAAGCCAUAGAAACCAAGCGUGAUGAUGCUUCAGAAUACCGGAAAGGAAAGCGUUCUCUUGUACACAGUCAAACUUACAGGAGGUGGUUCCCUCCUACAGUCUAUGAAGAUCCUUAUCAAAUUUCACUGCAAUACGUGGAGAAGCACCACAUUCUGCAAAUAUUCCAGCAGAUCACUGAAAACUUAGUCUAUGAGAAACCAGAGGACCCCCUGAGAUUUAUGCUGAGCCAGAUAUCCAGUUUUUCCAGCACCAUUUGUUGAAGAGACUAUCCUUUCCCCCUUGUGUAUUCUUGGCACCUGUGUUGAAGAUCAAUUGGCCAUGUACAGGAAAUGAUAAAAACCAGAGACAACCCUGAAACCUACAAUGAAUGAAUCUCUCCUCAACAUUGUUUACGACCAUCAAUAUCAAUACUCUGUUCAAUUUGCCGCUCUGAAAAGUAGUUUUUGAAUGGUCAUUGGUAGUGACUAUGCCUAAAUGUGUUCUUAAUUUUUAAGUAAAAAUCCAUAGGGUAUCUUUGUAAAAUUCACAUAAUAGUUACAGAUACCUCUGUCUAAUCAUACAAAAAUAUACACGUUAUACUUAUCCAUGCAUUGGUAUGUCAAUGCUCAUUCCUCCAAAGCACUGAACAAUAACAAGUUCACAAAUCCCAAAGAGGAUCAAGAAAAGAAUAUUAGCAAUUUAUGUGCACUUCUCUUAAAGCAUACAAAUCUAUCAUGUCUCCAAGCUGUCUAUAAAAUUUUUGAUCAGAAAGCCUGUGGAAAAUAAUUUGUAACAUCACUUUUUGUCUCUUUUAUUGGAAGAUGAUUGUUGUAAUAUCUCUUAUGUCUUAAUACCUCCAACAUGUUUCUACUAUUUUCCUUUUGACCCUUCCUGUUAUGUUCGGCCAUUAGUAGACGUGAUUUAAUCUAUUCCUACGGAUGGCACUCUUCUCAUUUUUAACCUACAGCAAAACUCAGACAUGUUAUACUACCCUUUACACACCUGUGGGAGAGGCCAAAUGGCACUUCCUCAUCACCUUUCGCCCCUGAAGUGUAUCUACAUCGGGUGGAAUGUGUAACCAGUCAAACUGGUAUUUAAAAGCAAAAAGCCUCAACGUGGUCCCUCUGGUAUGAGAGGAUCUGCCCAGCAGUCAUGGCUGAGAUGAUCAUCUGAUGCUCUUUUCGUGAGCUGAACCUUUCAUUUGAUUUCCACUUGAACAUUAAAGCAGACUUGAUUGUUUAUUUUGUUUCGCUGGUGACUUGAUGCAAGUAUGUGGUUGUAUUACAAUGAAUUAAGCUUCCGUUUGAACAAUCAUGCAUAAAUCCUACUUUUUUUUAUACCUGAAUUUCUUUUCUAAUAAUUAUGUUAAAAAAAUCUCCUGCUUAUAUCUUCAAAGUUUGUUUAGUUUUUCUUCCAAUUGUCCACAAAAUGUGCAUGUGCUCAGACUCAAUAAACGUUCUC